GGGUGUCGAUGGGGUAAAUACAAACAAAAAGGGAAAACAAGUGGUUUGGGUUCAUAGCCAAUGUCAUUAUUCUUUUCACUGUGUUUAUUCUACAUAUCUUUUCCAAUUCUUUUCUUUUUCAGUUCUUUUACUCAGUGCUUUUUCUUUUCUUUUCUUUUUAUACCCAACUAAGUGUUUCUUAUUCAGUGAGUGCCUUUUUUUAUUCCAUCAAAUUUCCCAUUUUU
rnacentral:lncRNA from 1 species